rnacentral:tRNA from 1 species
UCCCUGGUGAUUCAGUGGUUAGGACUUCGGGCUCUCACUGCUGAGGGCCCAGGUUGAAUCCCUGGCCAGGGAA